rnacentral:rRNA from 13 species
GUUUGAUUCUGGCUCAGAACGAACGCUGGCGGCAGGCUUAACACAUGCAAGUCGAACGAUAUAGUGGCAGACGGGUGAGUAACGCGUGGAAACGUGCCUUUCACUACGGAAUAGCUUUUGGAAACGAAAGGUAAUACCGUAUACGCCCUCCGGGGGAAAGAUUUAUCGGUGAAAGAUCGGUCCGCGUUAGAUUAGCUAGUUGGUGAGGUAACGGCUCACCAAGACUACGAUGGGUAGGGGGCCUGAGAGGGUAAUCCCCCACACUGGUACUGAGACACGGACCAGACUCCUACGGGAGGCAGCAGUGAGGAAUAUUGCGCAAUGGACGAAAGUCUGACGCAGCCAUGCCGCGUGCAGGAAGAAUGCCCUACGGGUUGUAAACUGCUUUUGUACAGGAAGAAACCCCCGCUCGUGAGCGGGGCUGACGGUACUGUACGAAUAAGCACCGGCUAACUCCGUGCCAGCAGCCGCGGUAAUACGGAGGGGGUUAGCGUUGUUCGGAAUUACUGGGCGUAAAGCGCACGUAGGCGGACUUUUAAGUCAGAUGUGAAAUCCCGAGGCUCAACCUCGGAACUGCAUUUGAAACUGGGAGUCUAGAGAUCAGGAGAGGUUAGUGGAAUACCGAGUGUAGAGGUGAAAUUCGUAGAUAUUCGGAGGAACACCAGUGGCGAAGGCGGCUCACUGGCUCGAUACUGACGCUGAGGUACGAAAGUGUGGGGAGCAAACAGGAUUAGAUACCCUGGUAGUCCACACCGUAAACGAUG